UAAUAAUCAGUGACGAGAAAGAGUAAGAGAAGAACCCUGUUCUCCAGAGAGUCGGCGUUUGGUGAAAGUCGAUGGGCAGAUCUUAUCCGAAAAUCAUCUCCGAGAUGCAAAGUUGAAAAUAGUAAACUUUGACGGUUUUCCACCGUUAAAUGGAGCGCGUAUGAUAGUACGCUGACUGAGAGUCGGAUUGUUUCUUUUUAAUGAAACGUGCGGAAUAUGGGUGGUAUCGCGAGCAUAAACUCGUCCCUAUU
rnacentral:ncRNA from 1 species